UAACGCGUAGAUAAUCUACCCUUAUGUUCGGAAUAACUGGGCGAAAGCGCAGCUAAUACCGGAUACGUUUUUUGUGUCGCGAGGCAUGAAGAAGAAAGAUAGCUUUCGGGCCAUCGCAUAAGGAUGAGUCUGCGUACCAUUAGCUAGUAGGUGGGGUAAAGGCCUACCUAGGCGACGAUGGUUAGCGGGUCUGAGAGGAUGAUCCGCCACACUGGAACUGGAACACGGACCAGACUCCUACGGGAGGCAGCAGUGAGGAAUUUUGCGCAAUGGGGGAAACCCUGACGCAGCGACGCCGCGUGGGUGAUGAAGGCUUUCGAGUCGUAAAGCCCUGUCAAGUGGGAAGAAACGUUGACGUAUGAAUAGUGCGUCAAUUUGACGGUACCACUAAAGGAAGUACCGGCUAACUCCGUGCCAGCAGCCGCGGUAAUACGGAGGGUGCAAGCGUUGUUCGGAAUUACUGGGCGUAAAGGGCGCGUAGGCGGCGCUGUAAGUCGGAUGUGAAAGUCCACGGCUUAACCGUGGAAGUGCAUCUGAUACUGCAGUGCUUGAGUAUCGGAGGGGAAAGUAGAAUUCCCGGUGUAGAGGUGAAAUUCGUAGAUAUCGGGAGGAAUACCGGUGGCGAAGGCGACUUUCUGGACGAAUACUGACGCUGAGGCGCGAAAGCGUGGGGAGCAAACAGGAUUAGAUACCCUGGUAGUCCACAGCUGUAAACGAUGUACACUAGAUGUUGGGGGUGUUGACCCCUCCAGUGUCGCAGCAAACGCAUUAAGUGUACCGCCUGGGGAGUACGGUCGCA
rnacentral:rRNA from 1 species